rnacentral:rRNA from 1 species
CCUACGGGUGACUGCAGUGGGGAAUCUUCCGCAAUGGGCGAAAGCCUGACGGAGCAACGCCGCGUGAUCGAAUGAAGGCCUUCGGGUUGUAAAGAUCUGUUGACAGGGAAGAAAUAAACUCCUUCGGACUUUGGACGGUACCUGACUAAGAAGCCCCGGCUAACUACGUGCCAGCAGCCGCGGUAAUACGUAGGGGGCAAGCGUUAUCCGGAUUUACUGGGUGUAAGGGGAGCGUAGACGGCAGCGCAAGUCUGGAGUGAAAUCCCAUGGCUUAACCCCCAAACUGCUUUUGGAACUGCGUGUCUUGAGUGAUGGAGAGGCAGGCGGAAUUCCCAGUGUAGCGGUGAAAUGCGUAGAUAUUGGGAGGAACACCAGUGGCGAAGGCGGCCUGCUGGACAUUAACUGACGCUGAGGCGCGAAAGCGUGGGGAGCAAACAGGAUUAGAUACCCUGGUAGUC